ACAAGCGGUGGAGUAUGUGGUUUAAUUCGAUGCAACGCGAAGAACCUUACCUGGUCUUGACAUCCCGGAGACCCUUAGGAAACUAGGGGUGCUUCCAUCUGGAAGAAUCUGGAGACAGGUGCUGCAUGGCUGUCGUCAGCUCGUGUCGUGAGAUGUUGGGUUAAGUCCCGCAACGAGCGCAACCCUUGCCUUUAGUUGCCAGCAGUUCGGCUGGGCACUCUAAAGGGACUGCCGGUGUUAAACCGGAGGAAGGUGGGGAUGACGUCAAGUCCUCAUGGCCUUUAUGACCAGGGCUACACACGUACUACAAUGGCCGAUACAAAGGGCAGCGACACUGCGAGGUGAAGCCAAUCCCGUAAAAUCGGUCUCAGUCCGGAUUGGAGUCUGCAACUCGACUCCAUGAAGUUGGAAUCGCUAGUAAUCGUGAAUCAGAAUGUCACGGUGAAUACGUUCCCGGGCCUU
rnacentral:rRNA from 1 species